GUAGGGAGCAAGCGUUGUCCGGAUUUACUGGGUGUAAAGGGCGUGUAGGCGGGAUUGCAAGUCAGAUGUGAAAUUCCGGGGCUCAACCCCGGAACUGCAUUUGAAACUGUAGUUCUUGAGUACUGGAGAGGCAGGCGGAAUUCCUAGUGUAGCGGUGAAAUGCGUAGAUAUUAGGAGGAACACCAGUGGCGAAGGCGGCCUGCUGGACAGCAACUGACGCUGAGGCGCGAAAGCGUGGGGAGCAAACAGGAUUAGAUACCCUGGUAGUCCACGCUGUAAACGAUGGAUACUAGGUGUGCGGGGACUGACCCCCUGCGUGCCGCAGUUAACACAAUAAGUAUCCCACCUGGGGAGUACGAUCGCAAGGUUGAAACUCAAAGGAAUUGACGG
rnacentral:rRNA from 1 species